GGUUUUAUGUUCUUAAGUAAAACGUGAUAGCAUUGUGUAGACUGCACAUUAUAUGCAGAAAGCGUGCACGAACAUAUUUAGCUCAUGUUGGGAUAAAGUAAGUCAAUCAAGUGAAUACCAGUUCUCAUUUUAUCUCGCGAUAUUCACGCACCCGAAUGCAUUUCGGGAAGAAGAAAGAAAAUUCCGCGCUCUUUUCAACGUUCACUGGCAACUUCCAGCUCAACUCGCCCUGGGUCUAUUCCACCAUCGAUCUAUUCCACCACCUCAGCUCAACUUUAUGGACACUAAGCUCACACUCUGUACAUGUCAUGUGGAGUCAGCUCUUUCACUGUGGGCUCAUGUUUGUGUGACAGUGCAGUAAGACCAUGACAGCGAUUCUCAGAGUAAUCCUGGGGCCAGACAGCUGUCAGAGGGUGGUGUUUCCUUCUGGUCUACCUUCAACUGUAACUGACCUAAAGACUGAGAUAAAGACUCAAUGUAAAAUAACACAAUCCUUUCGACUGCAGUUUAUGGAUACACUUUUUGGCAACGACUUCAUGAACCUCACUUCUGUGGAAGAAGUACAAGACAAAGCUACAGUCAAGGUCAUAUACACAUCCUGCAGUCUUGAUUACUGUACAGUACACCAGGCACAUUAGGAUUUUACCAUUCCAUUGUUUUGCUCUGUUAAUAUAGCAUUGUUCCAAAACCUUAAGCUUCCCCCAGUACAUUUAAGGUGUUUUUUCUUGUAGUUUUUUUAUAGAUGCAGAUGCAUUUUGAAAAAGCUCUGACAUGUUUUAGCCAAACUAAGCUACAUCUGGAAAGAAGCGCAUUAUUCAUAGUUUGAUUAGCCCAUGACUGUUGUUAUACUUUUUUGGGGCUCUUAGCUACAGUAUGCAGUACACCCCAGGAAGCAGUGUUGAGGCCUGGUUUUAGUACCACCAAGUUUUACAGUUUUGAUUACUGUCCAGAACUAGGCACAUUUUACUAGUCAACGUGUUAAUAUAUAUCUUGCAUUGUUAACAAGUCUUGACAUCCCCAUGUCACAUUAUGAUGAACUUUUAAUUUUGGAAACUCAGUGCCAUUUUUUUUCUAGCCACACCUGUGCAGUACAUUCAUUUGUUGAAUAAAAUAUCAGAAUUGAACAGACUUAUAGUUUUUAAUGAAAAUAUAUUGUUAAUGUUUACAAUAGUAAAGUGAAAUGUCAACAAUACAUUUGAUAAUUGUUUAUUUCUUUAC